GAAUGCGCAGAUAUCAGGAGGAACACCGGUGGCGAAGGCGGGUCUCUGGGCAGUAACUGACGCUGAGGAGCGAAAGCGUGGGGAGCGAACAGGAUUAGAUACCCUGGUAGUCCACGCCGUAAACGGUGGGUACUAGGUGUGGGUUUCCUUCCUUGGGAUCCGUGCCGUAGCUAACGCAUUAAGUACCCCGCCUGGGGAGUACGGCCGCAAGGCUAAGACUCAAAGGAAUUGACGGGGGCCCGCACAAGCGGCGGAGCAUGUGGAUUAAUUCGAUGCAACGCGAAGAACCUUACCUGGGUUUGACAUGCACAGGACGCGUCUAGAGACAGGCGUUCCCUUGUGGCCUGUGUGCAGGUGGUGCAUGGCUGUCGUCAGCUCGUGUCGUGAGAUGUUGGGUUAAGUCCCGCAACGAGCGCAACCCUUGUCUCAUGUUGCCAGCGGGUAAUGCCGGGGACUCGUGAGAAACUGCCGGGGUCAACUCGGAGGAAGGUGGGGAUGACGUCAAGUUAUCAAGCCCCUUUAUGUCCAGGGCUUCACACAUGCUACAAUGGCCGGUACAAAGGGCUGCGAUGCCGCAAGGUUAAGCGAAUCCUUUUAAAGCCGGUCUCAGUUCGGAUCGGGGUCUGCAACUCGACCCCGUGAAGUCGGAGUCGCUAGA
rnacentral:rRNA from 1 species